rnacentral:lncRNA from 1 species
UGAAUUAAUUAAGCCUACAAACAUGGACUUUAGUCUAAAGAUUCACCCAUUAUUUUAUAUGAAUUGGUAGCUUUUACCUCCAACUCGAAGAAUUACUUUAAUUUCUUAGCGAGUACUAGAAUCCACACAAAUUACACACAAGUCCCACUUUGACCGGCACACCCAUGUGCAUCCAUGGGUAAGUUCAUUAACCAAUUGUUUUAUCAAAUAAUUUUUAGUUAUUGAUUUAGCCCCAGAUAACUUUUCAGUUGACUUUGGUCUUCUCUACAAGUCGUGGUUUGGUCCAACCAUUAACAUGAUCAUACUCACGAAUCCAACUACUAAAUGAUCAGACCUGACUUUGGCCGGCUAACCUGACCACUUGACAGAGAGACUCGACCAAGUCAUCAUAUUAUGAAUAAUAAUUCAAAUAGUAGAUGAGCACCAGACCUUUGGGCCUCUAAUGAUCAUUUUACUAAUGGACCCAUUAUCACCCAACUUAAUGGGAGGCUAUGAUUUAGUUAUCAUUAUAACUAUCUCAUUUAAGGGACCUAAUAAUUUAGAGAAUUUAAUUAUGAAUUAAAAAAAAAAAAGAGAAGAGAUCAAUCAGCAAAUCAUAAUCCUCCCAUCAACUUCACCAAGUUAUUGAAUCAGAUUACGGUCAUGCUGAUUGAAAUGGCGCUUAGAUCAAUCACACUGAUCAACCUUAAUGGAAUGAGUUAACUUGAAUCACUUAAUGAUCUAAUCUAAAUAUAAUUCAUCAAAUUGGUCAGAUAAAUGAGAUUGGUGGGAGGGUCUGGUAAGCUUGUCUUAGACACCAUCGAAAUGGUCAGGUAAGCUACUCCUAAUUAAAAAAUCAUCGAUCAAAAUGCCAAACUUACCUUAGACAUCAAUUGGUUAAUCAGUUUCGAUUUGACCAACCUAAUGAUUUGGGUUCAACCACUAAGCCACAAUCAAGAUCUAUUUGGUCUAAUCAAGGACAUAGACUUGACCAUCUACAACUAUUAUAUUUAAAAAACUCAAAUUUAAUCUAAUUCAAUAUUUGAUUAAACUUGAUCAAUUUUUCUACAUGAUCAACUAAUUUUUUAAUUCUAAUCUUAGGUAUAACCUAAUUAAGAGGACCUGAUUUGAGCUAACCCAUGCCCCAUAUUUCAUGUUUUAUGCAACGUCAUUAAAUCUUAAAUUAUAAUUCUGGAUCUAAUUAAUUCAACACUUAAUUCUUAAUUAAGUUUUUAUAUCAACAUGGUUUAGAUUUUGAAAUAAUUUUUCAUAUCAAUUUUUUAUAUUAAAUCAUAAAAUCUUUUUAGAUCAUAUCUAAAUUUUUAUGAUUUUAAAUCAAAAUAAUUUUGAUUAUGUAGAUUAGAUGUAAUUAAUUUUUUUUGCAACUUACAUCACAUACAACAAAUCCUAAGAUUUCAAGAUCUAAGAUUUUAUAAGAAAAAAUAUAUUUUUUUUCACUUU